rfam:Oryza nivara chromosome 2, whole genome shotgun sequence.
AAUAAGUGCAGUUUUAAACUGUUCAUGUUCAACGUUUGACCAUUUAUCUUAUUUGAAAUUUAUUUUAUGAUUAGUAUUUUUUAUUGUUAUUAGAUGAUAAAAUAUAAAUAAUAUUUUAUGUGCGACUAAUUCUUUUUAGUUUUUUUCAUAAAUUUUUCAAAUAAGACGGACGGUCAAACGUUAGACACGGAUACUCACGGUUGCGCUUAUU